UACAGAGGGGGCAAGCGUUAUUCGGAAUUAUUGGGCGUAAAGGGCGCGUAGGCGGCUUGGCAAGUGGAAGGUGAAAUCCCUCGGCUUAACCGAGGAACUGCCCUCCAAACUGCUUAGCUUGAGACCGGGAGAGGUGAGUGGAAUUCCCAGUGUAGCGGUGAAAUGCGUAGAUAUUGGGAGGAACACCAAUUGCGAAGGCAGCUGGCUACACAUAUAUUGACACUGAGGCACGAAAGCGUGGGGAUCAAACAGG
rnacentral:rRNA from 1 species